rnacentral:rRNA from 1 species
UGGGGAAUAUUGCACAAUGGGCGCAAGCCUGAUGCAGCAACGCCGCGUGAGGGACGACGGCCUUCGGGUUGUAAACCUCUUUUAGUAGGGAAGAAGCGAAAGUGACGGUACCUGCAGAAAAAGCACCGGCUAACUACGUGCCAGCAGCCGCGGUAAUACGUAGGGUGCGAGCGUUGUCCGGAAUUAUUGGGCGUAAAGAGCUCGUAGGCGGUCUGUCGCGUCUGCUGUGAAAACCCGAGGCUCAACCUCGGGCCUGCAGUGGGUACGGGCAGACUAGAGUGCGGUAGGGGAGAAUGGAAUUCCUGGUGUAGCGGUGGAAUGCGCAGAUAUCAGGAGGAACACCGAUGGCGAAGGCAGUUCUCUGGGCCGUAACUGACGCUGAGGAGCGAAAAGCGUGGGGAGCGAACAGGAUUAGAUACCCUGGUAGUCCACGCCGUAAAACGUUGGGCGCUAGAUGUGGGGACCAUUCCACGGUUUCCGUGUCGCAGCUAACGCAUUAAGCGCCCCGCCU